UUCUAGCCAGGUUCUAUCCAGGUUCUUCUGCCAUGUUCUGUCUAGGUUCUCCAGCCAAGUUCUGUAGCCAGGUUCUGUCCAGGAUCUUUUGCCAUGUUCUCUCGCUAGGUUCUGUCUCUAGGUUCUGUGUGUUGUCUUGUUACAUCUGUAUUUAUUCCAGUUGAUUCCAAUCCUAUCAAUCUCUAUUCCAAAGGUUAGGGUGUUUCUUAUC